CUCUAACCAUAGGCCAUGAAUCUGGUCUUGGGACACUGUCAGGUGGGCAGUUUGACUGGGGCGGUCGCCUCCCAAUAGGUAACGGAGGCGCUCAAAGGUUCUCUCAGUACGGUCGGAAAUCGUACGUCGAGUGUAAAGGCAAAAGAGAGCUUGAUUGCAAGACAUACAGGUCGAGCAAGGAUGAAAAUCGGACUUAGUGAUCCGGUGGUUCUGCGUGGAAGGGCCAUCGCUCAACGGAUAAAAGCUACCCUGGGGAUAACAGGCUUAUCUCCCCCAAGAGUCCACA
rnacentral:rRNA from 1 species